rnacentral:rRNA from 1 species
UACGAAGGGGGCUAGCGUUGUUCGGGAUUACUGGGCGUAAAGCGCGCGCAGGCGGUUCUUCAAGUCAGAGGUGAAAGCCCAGAGCUCAACUCUGGAAUGGCCUUUGAGACUAGAGAACUAGGGUACGGGAGAGGUGAGUGGAAUUCCGAGUGUAGAGGUGAAAUUCGUAGAUAUUCGGAAGAACACCAGUGGCGAAGGCGGCUCACUGGCCCGUUACCGACGCUCAGGCGCGACAGCGUGGGGAGCAAACAGG